rnacentral:pre_miRNA from 1 species
AAAGUACUCCCUCCGUCCGGAAUUACUUGUCGCGGAAAUGGAUAAAAAUAGAUGUAUCUAGAACUAAAAUAUGUCUAGAUACAUCCAUUCCUCCGACAAGUAUUUCCGGACGGAGGGAGUACUAA